rnacentral:rRNA from 1 species
UACGAAGGGGGCUAGCGUUGCUCGGAGUCACUGGGCGUAAAGCGCACGUAGGCGGAUUGUUAAGUCAGGGGUGAAAUCCUGGAGCUCAACUCCAGAACUGCCUUUGAUACUGGCGAUCUCGAGUCCGGGAGAGGUGAGUGGAACUGCGAGUGUAGAGGUGAAAUUCGUAGAUAUUCGCAAGAACACCAGUGGCGAAGGCGGCUCACUGGCCUGUUCUUGACGCUGAGGCGCGAAAGCUAGGGGAGCAAACGGG